rnacentral:misc_RNA from 1 species
AAGUCGUAACAAGGUUUCCGUAGGUGAACCUGCGGAAGGAUCAUUAAAAGUAGAUUGGUUAUACAUUUCAUGAGUACUCAACCUAGCAAUUUAACCCCAUUCCAGAUGUCACCCUUUGGCCCUGUUGCUUGACCCAUGGGGGCCCUCGACCCUAGGGUCACCUCUUGAUGAAUGUCGAAAACCCAAUGAGAGUCCCCAUGGGGAGGUUAAUCAUUAAAUUCAAUGUAUCCAAAUGUCUUCUGGUCUGAACUGUUUAACAAUGUUAAAA